rnacentral:rRNA from 1 species
GAUGAACGCUAGCUACAGGCUUAACACAUGCAAGUCGAGGGGAAACGAUAUUGGAAGCUUGCUUCCGAUAGGCGUCGACCGGCGCACGGGUGAGUAACGCGUAUCCAACCUGCCCAUCACUUGGGGAUAACCUUGCGAAAGUAAGACUAAUACCCAAUGACGUCUCUAGAAGACAUCUGAAAGAGAUUAAAGAUUUAUCGGUGAUGGAUGGGGAUGCGUCUGAUUAGCUUGUUGGCGGGGUAACGGCCCACCAAGGCGACGAUCAGUAGGGGUUCUGAGAGGAAGGUCCCCCACAUUGGAACUGAGACACGGUCCAAACUCCUACGGGAGGCAGCAGUGAGGAAUAUUGGUCAAUGGGCGAGAGCCUGAACCAGCCAAGUAGCGUGCAGGAAGACGGCCCUAUGGGUUGUAAACUGCUUCUAGAAGGGAAUAAAGUGGGAGUCGUGACUCCUUUUGCAUGUACCUUAUGAAUAAGGACCGGCUAAUUCCGUGCCAGCAGCCGCCGUAA